GGGGACGUAGAGCGUUACGCGAAGACGCACCGGCCUGUAGAGCCGGAGCCUUCAAUGGCCCGCUGGGUUCGACUCCCAGCGUCCCCA
rnacentral:tRNA from 1 species